rnacentral:tRNA from 1 species
GUCCCCGUAGUUCAACGGAAAGAAUAGGUCUUUGCGGAAGAUCUGAUGGCAGUUCGAUUCUGCCCGGGGACGCCA